rnacentral:rRNA from 1 species
CCUAAAACAAGGGGAGGAGAGUAGACGUGAAACACUAAACCGGGAGAAAGAAGAGAAGAAAGAAGUGUUCUUCCAGGAGGGUGAAGAAAUAGAUCGGGGGACCAAUGAAGAGAAGUAGAGUGUGUUCAGAGAAGAAGGAAGAGAAGAGAAGAAGUGAGAAGAGCUAUCGGUGUAUCUGCCUUAGAACUGCUAAUAAUCACGG